GACUUAGAGUGAAAAAUAAUUCUAGAAAAGUUUCACUAGGUAAGUAUGCAAAUUCUUAUUCUAAAAAUACUUCUUUAAGUGCAUGAAGCUUCAUGUAUUUUGCAAUAUUCUUGGCCUCAAUAUCUACCACCUAUUUUUUAACCAGACAAAUUUGAAUGUAUCAAGAUAAUUUGGUGCAAGAGAGUAACAUCCAUAUGUAUUUAAUCCAAGCUUUGAGGAACAUUAAGAUUUAAGGAUUAUAAAACUUGGCUGAUUUCCAUGCAACCAGUAAAAGGUUUUGCACAUCAUUUGACAGUAGAAAUAAAAAAACACUAAAUUUACAAAUAAAGCAUUGAGUUUGAUGUCUAUUCGUGUAUAUGUGUGUGUUCUUGUGAUGAAAUAGGCCUGCCUUUCAUCUUUUCUUUAAAAAAAAUAAAUGUUUACAAAACAUUUCCCUCAGAUUUUAAAAUUCAUGGAAGUAAUAAACAGUAAUAAAAUAUGGAUACUAUGAAAACUGACACACAGAAAAACAUAACCAUAAAAUAUUGUUCCAGGAUACAGAUAUUAAUUAAGAGUGACUUCGUUAGCAACACGUAGACAUUCAUACAUAUCCGGUGGAAGACUGGUUUCUGAGAUGCGAUUGCCAUCCAAACGCAAAUGCUUGAUCUUGGAGUAGGAUAAUGGCCCCAGGAUCUUGCAGAAGCUCUUUAUGUCAAACUUCUCAAGUUGAUUGACCUCCAGGUAAUAGUUUUCAAGGUUUUCAUUGACAGUUGGUAUGUUUUUAAGCUUGUUAUAGGACAGAUCCAGCUCAACCAGGGAUGACACAUUGAAAGAAUUUCCAGGUAUUCCACUAUCAGCCAGUUCGUUGUGAGAUAAACGCAGAUACUGCAAUGCAUUAAAACGCUUGAAAUACUCAUCAGGGAUGUUGCUGAUCUUAUUGUUGUCUAAGUAGAGAGUUAGAAGAGAGACAGGGAGACCAGAAGGCAGUCUGGCUAUCUGAUUGAAGCUCAAGUCAAGGUAUUCGAGUGAUUUAAGACCUUUAAAAGCAGCUGAAACAGCAUCCUCUUUCAGCCGAUUGUGCUGGAGAUGGAUGAAGGUCAGGUUUACCAAUCCUUCAAAAGAGCCCAGCUUUGUGAUCUUGUUAUGAGUAAGCUGCAGAUCCUCCAGAGAUUUGGGAAGUGGGCCCACAGACUCUGUCAGGUUGUUGUGGUUUAUAUGCAGCUUCUUCAGUUGUUUCAAUUUAGAGAAAACUCUCCCUUUUAUCUUGGAGUUUUCUAGAAGGUUGUGAUCUAGAAUGAGCCACUGCAGAUCAGUUACAUUCUCAAAGGCCUUUUCAUCAAUAUGGUCAAUCUGGUUAUUCCUAAGGUAAAGAUACUUGAUUCCAGGAGGCACCAUUGGUACACUUUUCAAUUUCAGCUCAUCACAGUACAUGGCACUUGGGUAGCUUUCAGGGCAGUUACAUUCUGGUGCACAGUUUGGUGAUGAUUGCCCAUAAAUUGAUAGGGGAAAAUCAUAAUCAUAGUACUGGCCACUGGUACCACCAAUCAAUGCCAGGAAGAGAGUAAAUGCACUUAGACUCAUUUUUGGCAAAUGGUUUGAAUCCUUACUGUCUUGACACUGCUUUCGUUAAUUCUUAAAGCAGAUGCACUAUGGACAAGAAUCCACCAAUAUAUGCUGUGAACUCUGU
rnacentral:lncRNA from 1 species